ensembl:lncRNA
AUGAAAUUACACAAAUAUGGAAUUAGGGGGACUGCACUUUCUUGGUUAAAUAGCUACUUACAUAAUCGACAACAAUAUGUUGAACUGCAAAACCAUAUUUCAAAGUCAAAGAAAAUUACCUGUGGGGUCCCCCAGGGGUCAGUGUUGGGACCAUUGUUGUUUAACUUGUAUAUUAAUAAUGUAUGGGAGGUGUCAAAAACACUGAAAACCAUUUUGUUUGCUGAUGAUACUAAUUUAAUCUGUUCUGGAGAAAAUAUGGAACAACUCUUGGAUACAGUGGAAAAUGAAUUACAAAAGAUGAAGAGCUGGUUUGAUGCAAAUAAACUAACACUGAAUUUAAGUAAAACUAAAUUUAUAAUUUUUGGUAAUCGUGCCACAACUUUAAACAAAAAGCUUAUGAUAAAUGAUAUUGAAAUAGAAAGAGUAAAAGAACUUAAAUUUUUGGGAGUAAUAAUCGAUGAAAAAUUAUGUUGGAAGCCACAUAUACAUUAUAUCAAGGCUAAAAUAUCGAAAUCAAUUGCUAUAUUGUAUAAAAUUAAUUACCUAUUAAAUCAACAAACAUUGUACACGUUGUAUUGUUCCUUCAUACUUCCAUACAUUACUUACUGUUUGGAGGUAUGGGGAAACACUUACAAAACUAAUACUGAACCAAUAUUUAUCCUUCAAAAGAGAGCCUUAAGAAUUGUAAAUAAAACCACCUAUAGAGCACCAACUACUCCACUGUAUAUUAAAUUAAAAGCACUAAAAUUCAGAGAUAUUGUUGACUUCAAAACUGCACAAAUUAUGUAUAAAAUAAAUAAUCAACAGCUAUCGAACAGUAUUCAAGGGUUGUUUCAAAUGAGAGAGUGCAAACAUAAUUUAAGAGGAACAUUUGUAUUUAAAAAGAAAUUUAUAAGAACAAAUUCUAAAUAUCACUGCAUCACAGCCAAAGGAGUUAUUGUAUGGAACAGCUGCAGUGAAGAGAUGAAAUCAUGUACAACGAGUAGUUUGAAAAGACUAUUUAAACUGAAUAUAUUGAAUGAAUACGAAAAGGACUCGAGGUGA